rnacentral:rRNA from 1 species
CCUAAGUGAUUUUUAUUUUAGUGGCGGACGGGUGAGUAACGCGUGGGCAACCUGCCCCAUACCGGGGGAUACCAGCCGGAAACGGCUGCUAAAACCGCAUAAGCGCACAGUACCGCAUGGUACAGUGUGAAAAACUCCGGUGGUAUGGGAUGGGCCCGCGUCCGAUUAGCCAGUUGGCGGGGUAGCGGCCCACCAAAGCGACGAUCGGUAGCCGGCCUGAGAGGGCGGACGGCCACAUUGGGACUGAGACACGGCCCAAACUCCUACGGAAGGCAGCAG